AAGCUGACGCACAAUCUUCGGGGGCGGAAACAGAAGCUGUCGUCUUCCUGUGUCCCUGCUGGCUCAUGGGACACGCUUUUAUAUAAGGCAGAAGAUUUAUGUCAUCUGUUGUACUGCGCUUUCACGAAGACUUGUUGUUGUGUCCAGAGCAAACGGAGGUGUGAAUCAGAAUGAAGACAGCUGCGGUACUCUUCGCUGCCUCUCUGGUCCUAGCUGCAACCUACCUAGCAGAAACAGCGAGACAGCUUGGGUAUCAUGAAUGUCACCGUGGUGCCGUCUAUUCGUACUGUGCCUCACCAUGUCCACGUGUAUGUGGUCAACCGCCAGUGACCAACUGCAGUCGUCGUUGCAUUGAAGGAUGCACCUGCGAACAAGGCCUCAUUUUGGACCCUCUUGGUCGCCGAUGCAUUCACGAAGACACCUGCAACCGCCUCGUCAACCGCAACACGACGCGAGCGACACCGGUGUCAAAUGUUGGCGAAAGUUAGACGCUCUUGUGUUGCUUAUGUAGUGUACCUCAAUCACCUAAACGACAACAUUUCGGCAAUAAAAUUAUACAUGCUCUUA